rnacentral:rRNA from 1 species
GACGAACGCUGGCGGCGUGCUUAACACAUGCAAGUCGAACGGAAAGGCCCUGCUUGCAGGGUACUCGAGUGGCGAACGGGUGAGUAACACGUGGGUGAUCUGCCCUGCACUUCGGGAUAAGCCUGGGAAACUGGGCCUAAUACCGGAUAUGACCUUCCAUGUAGUGUGGGGGGUGGAAAGAUUUAUCGGUGUGGGAUGAGCCCGCGGCCUAUCAGCUUGUUGGUGGGGUAAUGGCCUACCAAGGCGUCGACGGGUAGCCGGCCUGAGAGGGUGGACGGCCACAUUGGGACUGAGAUACGGCCCAGACUCCUACGGGAGGCAGCAGUGGGGAAUAUUGCACAAUGGGCGGAAGCCUGAUGCAGCGACGCCGCGUGGGGGAUGACGGCCUUCGGGUUGUAAACCUCUUUCGACAGGGACGAAGCUUCGGUGACGGUACCUGUAUAAGAAGCACCGGCUAACUACGUG